GCAGCUUUCAUCCUACGACCCGGCACAGGUUUGGGCAGACCGUCGAGCAACGGACAGGUGAAGGACUCAUGGUUGAAGGUCCACUUGGAGCCCGACCACAUAAAGAUCCCACCGUUCUUUGAGUCUGUGUCCAUAUUCAAACGCAUACUGGAAAAAAGGCCUUGGCAAAAAACUUUUCGUCAUCUUAAUUGAAUCCGGCAGAAAGGGUCAUCCUGGGGAUCGGCCUCCACUUUCUGCCAUGGCGUAUGGAACCAAUGAACUAAUUCUUUGGUCGCCCAGUUGCCUCUUCCAAUGCUUUGUGUACUGUCAGGCGGAGAAGAAGAAUUUGGGAGUAUUUCACUUCCAAUACCUUGGGAGCUUCCCUUGCUGUACAAGGACAUUAAUGUACUUAAAUCCAUGCCAUCUCCUCUUUGAGAACUCAGGCCAUAGUAGCUCUGCAAAGCUGCUCAUUGCAAACUCGGCCUAUUCCCUGUGUAGACUUGUCGCAAUCUAGUAAAUUCACAAUGUCCCUGUUUUGCUGAAUGUUCGGAGGCCACGAU
rnacentral:rRNA from 1 species